AACGCAUAUUGCGCCCGAGGCUUCGGCCAAGGGCAUGUCUGCCUCAGCGUCGGGUUAAUACUCACCCAACCAAUCCCUGGUUGAGUGGAUCUGGCUUUCCCAGGCCUCGUGUCUGGGUUUGCUGAAGCAUAGAGGUUGAUGCAUGGACCCGCUAAGGGCCGCAACUGGGUAGGCAAUCUAUUUGCUAAUGCUUUAGUUGUUGGCUUGGGACUGUGCUGGUCGACCCGAAAUCAGGAAGAGCUUCGGCUCUAAACCCAUUUUCUCGACCUGAGCUCAGGCAAGAACACCCGCUGAACUUAA
rnacentral:misc_RNA from 1 species